UUCAAGAACGGUAUAAAAACAUCUUGCACUAUUUAUGAUGGAGGGCGACGCAAAUAUUUUCCGGGAAGCUGAGUGUCCCGUUAAGCUGCACCACAGGUAGCGGUCCGCAACCCUUCAUUUACCCCUCCCCAGCGCACAGGCCCCGCCCACCGCAACCCCCGGCGCCGGCACAGCCUCGCGCGCACUCACCACACAGUAGACGACACAGACGAACCUCCGCGCAGGCACCAUGGCGCUGUGGACACCGUACGCGGAACAGGCCCUCGAUCUUAGCCGAGCGACCGUGAAGAAGGAGCGAGCUUCGCCCGAACCCGAGGCCAUUGGAUACGGUACGGUGCCCGGAUACUACCCUCGACAGGCGAUAUCCCCUCACGACAGGCUGCCAAUACCGCAGUAUUACGUGAGCUACCAUGAGGCGUCCUGCGUGCCCACAGCGCAAAUAUCGCCGGAGUCGGUGCACGGCGCCUGGUCGCCCAGCUCCUGUCGCAAGUCGUCAUCACCUUUGGAACCCUUCGACGCCUACGAGGCUGAGUCUCUCUCCGACGACGUGGAGUACCAAGCGUUCGAGAGAGACGCACUGCGGGCGAUGGCGGAGAAGAACGGUGGCAGUCUGCUAGGCAACAACCCGCGCAUGCGGCGAGCGGUGCAGGGUAGCGCGGCGGCGGACGACUCCUACCGGCGUCAGCGCGAGCGCAACAACCACGCCGCCAAGCAGAGCCGCGACCGCCGCAAGCUAAGGGAGGUGCGCCUCGCCUUCCAGGUCACCUUUCUCAAGAAGAAGUUGGCGGACCUGCGCAUGCGCCUCGAUGAGCGGGUCUGCGCGCGCUGCCGGUAGCGGUGCACGUGUUAG